rnacentral:rRNA from 1 species
AGAGUUUGAUCCUGGCUCAGGAUGAACGCUAGCGGCAGGCCUAAUACAUGCAAGUCGAACGGUGAUAGCAAUAUCAUAGUGGCGCACGGGUGCGUAACACGUAUGCAACCUACCUAUUAUUGGGGGAUAGCCUUUGGAAACGGAGAUUAAUACCGCAUAAUACGAUUGACUGGCAUCGGUUGAUUGUUAAAGCUUCGGCGAUAAUAGAUGGGCAUGCGUCCAAUUAGUUAGUUGGUUAGGUAACGGCUGACCAAGACGAUGAUUGGUAGGGGAUCUGAGAGGAUAAUCCCCCACACUGGCACUGAGAUACGGGCCAGACUCCUACGGGAGGCAGCAGUAGGGAAUAUUGGGCAAUGGGCGGAAGCCUGACCCAGCCAUGCCGCGUGCAGGAAGAAGGCGUUAUGCGUUGUAAACUGCUUUUUUAUAGGAAGAAGGAUCCCUUGCGAGGGAAGGUGACGGUACUAUAAGAAUAAGCACCGGCUAACUCCGUGCCAGCAGCCGCGGUAAUACGGAGGGUGCAAGCGUUGUCCGGAUUUAUUGGGUUUAAAGGGUGCGUAGGCGGUUUAUUAAGUCAGUGGUGAAAGACGGUCGCUCAACGAUUGCAGUGCCAUCGAUACUGGUAG